UCUUGACAUCCACAGAACUUGCCAGAGAUGGCUUGGUGCCUUCGGGAACUGUGAGACAGGUGCUGCAUGGCUGUCGUCAGCUCGUGUUGUGAAAUGUUGGGUUAAGUCCCGCAACGAGCGCAACCCUUAUCCUUUGUUGCCAGCGGUUAGGCCGGGAACUCAAAGGAGACUGCCAGUGAUAAACUGGAGGAAGGUGGGGAUGACGUCAAGUCAUCAUGGCCCUUACGACCAGGGCUACACACGUGCUACAAUGGCGCAUACAAAGAGAAGCGACCUCGCGAGAGCAAGCGGACCUCAUAAAGUGCGUCGUAGUCCGGAUUGGAGUCUGCAACUCGACUCCAUGAAGUCGGAAUCGCUAGUAAUCGUAGAUCAGAAUGCUACGGUGAAUACGUUCCCGGGCCUUGUACACACCGCCCGUCACACCAUGGG
rnacentral:rRNA from 1 species